GUCUACGGCCAUGCAACCCUGAAUGUGCUCGAUCCUGUCUGAUCUCAGAAGCUGAGCAGAGUUGAGCCUGGUUAGUACUUAGAUGGGAGACCACUUACGAGGACCAGGUGCUGUAGACA
rnacentral:rRNA from 1 species